rnacentral:sRNA from 1 species
AUGCAACGCAUGAAAGAUCAGCUUAUAUAAAGUGCAAAAAGCCCUCGAAAUGUAUUUCACUCACAGUUACAAAUUCCGAGCAGUGUGGACGUUUUACAACCAGUGUGACCUUCUACAUUUUGCAUUAGCUCAAUAAAACUACAAAUUCUCAGCUGAUUUUCUCAGCUGAUUCAAGAACGAUAAAACAAUUUAAAAGGAUAUACAUAGUUUUUUAAAAAAACUGUCUCAAUCUUGAUACGAUAUGCCAGGGCAACGAAGAAAUCCAAAGCCAACGACGAUUUUGCCACCAGAUAAAAGUGUACUAGCAGAAUAUAACGUGUUGAAUCUAGAAACGUAUCAGUUAAAUUAUAUUUUUACUCUUUAGACUAUAUUUUACCUAUAAUAAAUACAUGUAAUAUAAUUUUUUAUUCUCGCAAAGUUGUCACGCACA